rnacentral:rRNA from 1 species
AGAGUUUGAUCCUGGCUCAGGAUGAACGUUGGCGGCGUGCCUAAUACAUGCAAGUCGAACGAAGACUGUAGUAAUACUGUCUUAGUGGCGAACGGGUGAGUAACGCGUGGGUGACCUGCCCCGAAGUGUGGGAUAACAGUUCGAAAGAACUGCUAAUACCGCAUAAUAUCCAAGAGAUUAGACGCUUUUGGAUUAAAGGAGUAAUUCGCUUCGGGAGGGGCCCGCGUCCCAUCAGCUAGUUGGUAAGGUAAUGGCUUACCAAGGCGAUGACGGGUAGGGGACCUGAGAGGGUGGCCCCCCACAAUGGAACUGAAACACGGUCCAUACACCUACGGGUGGCAGCAGUAGGGAAUAUUAGUAAUGGGCGAAAGCCUGAACUAGCAACGCCGCGUGUGCGAAGAAGGCCUUCGGGUUGUAAAGCACUUUUUGAGAGGAUGAGGAAGGACGGUACUCUCAGAAUAAGUCUCGGCUAACUACGUGCCAGCAGCCGCGGUAACACGUAGGAGGCAAACGUUAUCCGGAUUUACUGGGCGUAAAGCGCGUGUAGGUGGUUUGGUAAGUAGGGCGUGAAAGCUCCUGGCUCAACUGGGAGAGGACGUCCUAAACUGCCAAGCUUGAGGAUGGUAGAGGGAGGUGGAAUUCCGGGUGUAGCGGUGGAAUGCGCAGAUAUCCGGAGGAACACCAGUGGCGAAGGCGGCCUCCUGGACCACUCCUGACACUCAGACGCGAAAGCUAGGGUAGCAAACGGGAUUAGAGACCCCGGUAGUCCUAGCCCUAAACGAUGUAGACUUGGCGUCGGUGGUUUAAUCGCCAUCGGUGUCGUAGCUAACGCGUUAAGUCUACCGCCUGGGGACUACGGCCGCAAGGUUAAAACUCAAGGAAUUGACGG